rnacentral:lncRNA from 1 species
AUAGGAUUUGAAAGGCUAAGUGUGAGAGUCUGUGGCCACUGCAGUGUGAUUAAUGAAAAAAAAUUUUAUAAGCAUCACAAUUGGACUUGAGUUAAUCGAAUCUAUCAUAUGACUGAUGAUGAAGUUCGACGAUUUAUCUAUGACCUGCUAUCUAGUCAGAACUCACGAUAGAGAGACUGAAUCACAUGUGAACUAUACCUUGAGGUUCUAUUUUGGUUCUACUAAAUUGUCACUAUAUACUGCUAGGUAUCACUGAU